GGGGGGGGCAAGCGUUGUUCGGAAUUACUGGGCGUAAAGGGCUCGUAGGUGGCCAACUAAGUCAACCGUGAAAUCCCUCGGCUUAACCGGGGAACUGCGUUUGAUACUGGAUGGCUUGAGUUUGGGAGAGGGAUGCGGAAUUCCAGGUGUAGCGGUGAAAUGCGUAGAUAUCUGGAGGAACACCGGUGGCGAAGGCGGCAUCCUGGACCAAUACUGACGCUGAGGAGCGAAAGCCAGGGGAGCAAACGGGAUUAGAUACCCCGGUAGUCCUGGCCCUAAACGAUGAAUGCUUGGUGUGGCGGGUAUCGAUCCCUGCCGUGCCGAAGCUAACGCAUUAAGCAUUCCGCCUGGGGAGUACGGUCGCAAGGCUGAA
rnacentral:rRNA from 1 species